rnacentral:rRNA from 1 species
UUAGAGGAAGUAAAAGUCGUAACAAGGUUUCCGUAGGUGAACCUGCGGAAGGAUCAUUAACGAUUGCUACUCAAGCAAAAAAAAGACAAAGACAUGGUUAAAGCUAACACUCGUGACGAGUUCAGGGAGUGUGACGAGCCUCUCUCUCUCUCUCUCGCGCUAGCGAAGAGAAAGGGCCAUCGUGGUCGCUACGUGCUGUUGCACUGUGCGGACGAUGUAAAACAAACAACCGUUGGGGUCUCUCACAAAUGCAGUACAAGAUAUCGACACGUAUGGUAAAUGCUAACACUCGUGAGGAGUUCAGGGAGUGUGACGAGCCUCUCUCUCUCUCGCGCUAGCGAAGAGCAAGGGCCAUCGUGGUCGCUACGUGCUGUUGCACUGCGCGGACGAUGUAAAACAAACAACCGUUGGCCUCUUAUAUUUUGCAAACAAUCUAUCGCCAUGGCAUACAGGCCUGGCUCUGGUACGAGUCUCUCGCAGUCUCAAAACCAACCUUACAACUCUGAGCGGUGGAUCACUUGGCUUGUGGAUGCUAUGAAGACCAUAGCUAAGUGUGAGAAUGGCAGCGAGCCGUCGCUAUAUGCGCUGUCCUCUUCUUAUCACAUGUCGAAUGCACAUUGCGCCCCACCCAGCGGUCGGCUAACCUCCUGCAGACAAAAGCCUGUGUUCUGGAGCAAAGGUUGAUGUGUGGCCCUCGAGCAACGGCGGGGGAGCCAGGAGCACAUUGACGUGCGUUCCAGCCACUCGUGAGUAGUCAGGCUGAACCCCAUGGUGGGGCACUCCUAGUCGAGUGUGGUGGAUCGGGCUCAUCUCCUAUUGCGCUUUGCCGCGAAGGAGCUUGAGUUUCUUUGUUGCUGGUGGCUAUUCUGGUCGACAUCAGUCGUGCCUGUACAAACCUGCCUUGGCUCGUGCCUCUGUGCGUUUAACUUACGCGGUUGCGCAUAUCGAAAGGCCAAAGCUGGCGAUCACUCGUGCGGCCAGGGCACUACCUUCUGCCAGGUUCAUUUUUCGAUAAUGGCCGGUGGUGCGCAGAGGUCCAAAAUUCGGAUUUGGUAACGUAUGAGAGUCGGGUCUCUGUUUCUCUGUCUCGCUCACGCACAGCGAGUGGUGUACGAUACUUACCCACAUAUGCUUGUCGUCCGUCCCGCCCACGCGCAUGUCCGGCUAAGGCUCGUUUCUCGUACUAUCCGAGAACGACACACGGGCCCUACAUCUUUCAAUCACACUGGUCGUCCGACAAACGCCUGACGAGUUCAGGAAGGAUUUUCCAAGUGUGGUGGAAGUAACGGACUUGCGCGCAGUAUCGCACCACUCCCUUCACUGUGUGUCGGCGGGGAAUGAGUGAGCCUGCCAUCUCGCUUUUUUUGCAUAUGCCACCACCUCGACUUAGGAGAGGAUACCCGCUGAACUUAAGCAUAUCAGUAAGCGGAGGAAAAGAAACCAAUCAGGGAUUCCCUUAGUAGGGGCGACCGAAAAGGGAUGAGCCCAGCGCAGAACCUCCCGGGCCACCCGGGCUGCGGCGGAAUGUUGCGUUAAGGGAAAGGUCGUAGUCAAACCCCACAGCCACGCGAGCACUAAGUAAGUCACGAAUUGGCUAUCCCAACUAACGGAGGGAGCAUCUCCACGGAGGGUGUCAGACCCGUGUGGGCGCGUGUAAAUGCUGUGUGGGCUCGGCCUCUUUUCCCUGAGAGUCGCGUUGCUUGAGCAUGCAGCGCUAAGCAGGUCGUAAACUCGAUCUAAGGCUAAAUAUGUCCACAAGACCGAUAGUGAACAAGUACCGUGAGGGAAAGUUGAAAAGCACUCUGAAGAGAGAGUCUAAAGACCGUGAAACCGCUC